rnacentral:rRNA from 1 species
UACAGAGGUCCCAAGCGUUGUUCGGAUUCACUGGGCGUAAAGGGUGCGUAGGUGGUGAGGUAAGUCGGAUGUGAAAUCUCCGAGCUCAACUCGGAAAUUGCAUUGGAAACUACCUUGCUUGAGGGUUGGAGGGGGGACUGGAAUGCUUGGUGUAGCAGUGAAAUGCGUAGAUAUCAAGCGGAACACCGGUGGCGAAGGCGGGUCUCUGGGCCGAUACUGACGCUGAGGAGCGAAAGCGUGGGGAGCGAACAGG